CAUGUGAGUAAGUGAUUCUUCAACUACUUUGAUCAGCGAACAAAUACAUGUUCCUCGCUCAAACCUGUUUCCAUCUCCAAAUUAUUUUUUCGAGGGAUCAUCAGCGCGUGUAACAGCGUACGACAAGUGAUUCGCUAUAAAUCAACGUUCACAGUUUCACAGAGUCACAUUAAGGCCACUGGUGAUGUGUCAAGUAUUAUUUGUAAAUGAUCCUUAUAAUAGCCAGUUACAGUAACUGGCUCCGGUCGAAGGAUUAUUGGAGCACAAAAAUGAGCUGUAACUUGGAAAUAAGAUCAAAUAACUCACAGGUUAACUACAUACGUACUAUAUUGUACGAUGUAGUAAAUUAAACAUAAAGAGCAUCCUCAAUCCGAUGACGUAUCGUUUGUGUAUCUCGAGUGCAAGAAUAAUUGUUGAUUACGUAUGAAGAUAAUCAACACACUCCUAAUCAAUGCUCGAUAUGUGUACGUGCACGUAAUACAUCCUUUUUUCAAUGAAUAUGUAGUUAAUCGAUAAACCUCGAUGCUCUCUACCAUUGUAAGGAAAGAAAAGUUAUACGAAAUAAGUCUAUUUCUAAUUAGAAAUUUCGCUUGAUCAUCGUUGUAAAUAUGUAAUGAGAUUAUCAUGAAAUCAUUGCGACCAAUGAACUUGUUUUAUUGUAACCGUACACUAUGCAUAGAAAGCCACAUAUAUAUUUACAAGCGCCCAUUGUAUGUAUAAUUGUGUUGUCGUGUGAAAAGACUGUUCUUACGUAACGAACUCGGCAAGCUCGACGUGACACUGACCUCACUCUGAAUCCAUAAGUGGCUGUUAAUUAUCGAUUGGCAACGAUUUCAACGAUUUCACCAAUGGAGGAUGAGAGUAGAACCGAAGAAGGGUGAGAUGAAGGAGGAUGGGGAAAAGCCAAUACACAGAGUGGCCUGCUAAUCAGUCCGCUCCGAUAUCGCAAUAUGUGGGAUACGCUCGGUUGAUUUUCAACACGACGAGUUUACCCUAACGUAAUUAAUGUCCGUCGUACAAUGUGACGCGUAACGACAAAUUCGAACGACGUCGCUAUUCAUAGAAAGAGAAGAGAGAGAGAGAAAGAGAAAGAGAGGAGAAGAGAGUAGGAGAAAAGAAAAGAUUACCGGCGAUCGUGUGCACGGUCUACAAAGUCAAUGCGAUUCCAUUCACCCAUCGUGCUUCCAUGUCCCGUGAACGAGACGAACGGUUUGCCUUGCCAUAACGGUCUAGAUGAAUUUAUAACUAAAUGAUGCAUCAGACACACAAAUACAACGAAUACAUCGUGCCCGUUUUGUAAUGGUCUAGAGCUAGCAGAUCUUUAAUUGCUGGCUCGUAGACAGAAUGUGACCCGAUUGUGUGCGUUACAGCGACCUUUCGAGGCGCCGCGGUUGAUUAUAGGCCGCUCAAAAUAAUUAAUCGAUCGUUUACUUUGAUUAUAUCGUUCAGAUAUAUUCGUCUGGAGAACCUUGAUGUCUCUUAAAUAUUAGAACUGAAUUUAAGCAAUUUAACAGUUUGCGAUUUAAUUUUUUCUUAACGAAUAGCACUUAAAUUAUACGGCAAAAUUAUCCGACACCUCGGAUUUUAUUUUCAGAUGUAUUUUAAGAGAUCCUCGUAUUUUAAGUGCAGGCAAAAAAUGUCCUGUAUUCAAACGAAAGGAUAUUGUUAGCAAAAGCUCGAUAGACAUACGAUUUUAAGAGUGUCUCAAAAUACAUACUGUUCGCUUCAUUUAAGCAACAGUGGAAGAUUACUUUGAGCAAUGCAACCGAACACGAAGCGGAUAGGCGAGAACGGUGUAGGAUACACGUUCGUUUCAGAAGCGAGCUGUGUAUCAUCAUCAUCAUGCACGGUCGAGUGGAUCAUUUUUCAUUUAUGCGCGCCGGAUAAUGUGUAUCAUUGAAUAUGUCACUAAUUGCUCGACAGGAGGAUAAACAUUUUUUGCGGAGAUAAAUUAAACGGUCGCGACGCUGGACAAGAUAAUUAAGUAUUACGGUAUGGUGUUACGUAUGUGAUAAUAAUCUCGCCACAUGUCGACACACUCUUUUCCUGACCCGACCCAUCGGUUCUUUCUCUCUGUCCUUCUCCCGUAGCCGAAGAACGUAAGGGCACGAUCAGAGGAAACGACGACGACAACAGCGGCGACCAGCCUCUAGUCAAGAGAAGGAAGGGAGAAAACACGUCGGAUAAGAAAGAAUCUGUGGUAAGGACAAUCACCCGGGAGAGGUCGAACGAUCCCUGUAUGUUGCGAGACGACGAAAAAGUCCAAAAGGAUUUCCCCACGGCGCAACCAGCAAUUUGAAAAAGAAAACCAUCGAUGCGUGCAUUCCCGAUUCAGAGAAUUUUUCAAAAGCUGGCACGUCACACCGAACCUCCGAACCAUGUGCUUUUGUGUUUAUGACGAAGAAAUUUUAUACGCUCAAAUUAACCUGCGGAUCUCGUGCGUCUUGUGCACGAUGUCUAGCGUUUUGCAUGUUCUCGAUAACAAAAACUACAUUUUUCCAAUUGUUCAAAGCUCGCUUAAAGAGACGAGAAAAAAGUGACGUUUAACUAAUCUUUAAGGUGAAGCAGCGUGUAGAAAUAAAUUAGCAUUCUAUCAUUGGAAACGAGCAGUUGGAAGAAUAUCAUAGAAAAUAUGAGCAAUCUGGCGGAUAUUUCAGAUUCAUCUCAGGUCAAAGCGUUGGUAAUAGAGCAUUAAAAAGGGUCUGGUUUUUAUUCCCACGGCUUUUCAUAAUUAGUCGUCGUCGUCGUCUGCCGGAAUAGCGAUGCAUAUCUCGCUCUCCGCUAAUUGUUUGACACCGAAUCAACAUCCUACCGUGGCGUUUACAUUUCAAAUCGCCUUACUCGUAGCUCCCGGGAGCAGAUAACAAGGUAUCUAGUAACGCGAGUACCAAGCCUGAUAAUUCAUUUACUACCAGGUAACGAUUUCUUACAUUUAAUUAGCGAAGGAUUGUGCUUUACUAAUAGAGUGAGAAAAAUUUGGCUCUCAAAUUGGCUUCUAAUUAGACAGAAAAGAAAAGAAAAGAAUAGAAAAGAUGUACAUAAAGUAUAUAAAAUAAAUACAGAUGAAUACACGUAUCGCGUUACGAUCGGACAAGAUUGGUAAGCGAAGAUCUGGUAAGCAUUUCCUGCUAAGCGUUGCGCAGCUUACAGCUGUUCUGCACCGUCCAGAAGCUCAGGUUGGAGCGUGAACUCGUUCAGGAACAAGAGGGACCGGUUUAAGCGGUUUACAUCGCGGCUACUUUCUCCGUGACAAUAACAAUGCACUUUGUGCUUUGAUAAUGCACAAGAUGGACGAGUAAAUAACAAGUAUGCCUCCGUGAACGUCUUUUUCUUUCGAGACGUGCGACAUUACCACGGUUCGGGAACCAGAUUUGCGCGAUGCAAUUACAGUGACCAAAUACGUAAGGAGGGAAAAGCAUGAUGUUACUUUUUCAUUAAUUUAAAGAAAACUUCUUUUUAUCGUUGUUUGAUUUCUAAUAUGAAGAUAGGAAAUAAUUUGUUAAAUGCGCGAAUUAAGUAAUUACCCAAUCAAACGAGGUGAUUAUAUCACCUAUAAUCAUGCGUACAACUAUGUCAUUUUCUCUAUAAAUCUGUUAUUUUCAGUAGCGUAGUUCCAGCAGAUAAAGCGAAGCAGGAAUUAAAGUAGCGUAUCCUACUAGAAAUUCCUCGAGCAUUAUCAUAUCUGUAAAUUAACAAGUUGAAUGCCAUGGGGUCACCAGUGACCGACGCACCAAGAUUAGUAGAAAUACAUAAUUUGUACAAAUGUCAAUAGUUAUAAAUUUUGUAUUAUUAUCAUCGUUACUACAAUGGUGUGACGAAAUUAACGCAGUAUAAAACAUAUAAAAAUAAUUUUAUUUAUACAUGAAAUAUAAAUCUAUUAUGUGCGUUUUCCUCCAGUGGCUGUCGAACAUGGAAAGCCUCGCUUUUACCUUAGUGAAUAAUAGCCCUAAGAAACAUUUCGACUUGAAAGAUAUAUGAUGGCA